GAUGUUGUAAAUGUUUCAACAACUUACCAGCCCCUUGAAGCACUGGACAUUGUACAUCAUCCAUCAUGUGAAUAGUUCAUCCGAAUGACCUUAGUUCAUUUCGUUGAUAACUUGAUGUAAAUAAUUCAUCCAAGUUGACAUCUCUGACAUGAACGGGAUGUUAGGGCUAGACUUUUAUUAAAAGCAUUUUCAUAUUUAACAAAUAGUUAAAUGUCAUUGAAACAUUUUACACAAACUGCUGAGAAUGACAAGAUAUUUUGACAAUAAUUUGUCUGUCUCAUAAUUUUUACUUAAUUUUAUAGGUCUAUUAUCACUCUCUCUCUCUCUCUCUCUCUCUCUCUCUCUCUCUCUCUCUC